UUCGAUUCUGGCUCAGGAUGAACGCUAGCGACAGGCCUAACACAUGCAAGUCGAGGGGCAGCACAAGGAGCAAUCUGAGGUGGCGACCGGCGCACGGGUGAGUAACACGUAUGCAACCUGGCUGUAAAGAGGGGAAUAACCCGGAGAAAUCCGGACUAAUACCGCAUAAUACUUAGAAUCCGCAUGGAUUUUUAAGUUAAACAUUUAUGGCUUACAGAUGGGCAUGCGUAUGAUUAGCUGGUUGGAGAGGUAACGGCUCCCCAAGGCAACGAUCAUUAGGGGUCUGAGAGGAAGGUCCCCCACACUGGUACUGAGACACGGACCAGACUCCUACGGGAGGCAGCAGUGAGGAAUAUUGGUCAAUGGACGCAAGUCUGAACCAGACCCAAGUCGCGUGAAGGAAGAAUGUCCUAUGGAUUGUAAACUUCUUUUGAAGGGGAAUAAAGUACGGUACGUGUACCGUUUUGUAUGUACCCUUCGAAUAAGGAUCGGCUAACUCCGUGCCAGCAGCGGC
rnacentral:rRNA from 1 species